GUACAAAAAGGGAAGAAAUACAAUAUUUUUGAAAAAAAAAUUUGAAUACUCAUAUAUCUUUGUGAGCUGUUUCAGAAAGGCUGUCAAGUGUGGUGACCACAUAGAUCUUAUUGUGACCAACUUUCCUCCUGGACCAAGAGGAUACCAGACAAGUUAACUUUUAUGUCUCAGCCUUCACUAGAAAGGUGGGAUCAUCCACAAAGAUAAGUUAAGUAGAACUCUUGAAGACACUGGCAUAGGAAAAGACUUUAUGAAGAAAACCUCAGU